CUGCGAAAGCCGGAUUAAUACCGCAUACGCUCUAUGGAGGAAAGCGGGGGACUCGCAAGGGCCUCGCGCUCAAGGGGCGGCCGAUGGCGGAUUAGCUAGUUGGUGGGGUAAAGGCCUACCAAGGCGACGAUCCGUAGCUGGUCUGAGAGGACGACCAGCCACACUGGGACUGAGACACGGCCCAGACUCCUACGGGAGGCAGCAGUGGGGAAUUUUGGACAAUGGGGGCAACCCUGAUCCAGCAAUGCCGCGUGUGUGAAGAAGGCCUUCGGGUUGUAAAGCACUUUUGUCCGGAAAGAAAACCUGCCUGUUAAUACCGGGUGGGGAUGACGGUACCGGAAGAAUAAGCACCGGCUAACUACGUGCCAGCAGCUGCGGUAAUACGUAGGGUGCGAGCGUUAAUCGGAAUUACUGGGCGUAAAGCGUGCGCAGGCGGUUUGCUAAGACCGAUGUGAAAUCCCCGGGCUUAACCUGGGAACUGCAUUGGUGACUGGCAAGCUAGAGUAUGGCA
rnacentral:rRNA from 1 species